CGCGCAUGGUGGAUUCACAAAUCCACUGCCUUGACCCACUUGGCCACAUCCGCCC
rnacentral:tRNA from 1 species